GGCCUGGAGCUGGAGGAAGCUGGGAGCUGGACAUUUUCUCCUGGUGGUGUGAAGCUGAGCUGGGGAAAAGGACUCAGUUUCAAAGGACGCAUCACUAUUGAGAGAGAAAGUGCCGUGAGCAAAGCUAAGUAGCCGUCAGUAAGAAGGUCUUCUGACUUCUGCCAGGAGAAGAUGCCUCAGGUAACUGUACCCUCCCACCUGUGUGCACCCGCAGACUGUGGUCAGAAGCAGAGAUACUCCAGUCUACCUGUAUAAACGUGAGAAAGAAAGACAAGCCAGUGUAUUUGAGGGUUGGAUUCUGCACCGCAAGACUAAUGAACAGAAUGUAUUUCUACUGCAUUUAAACUCUCUUCGUUAGUUAUCAUGCAUCAUAUGGUAUAUUUUCCUCCCAAAAUAACCAACUUACGAACUUCCCCUUAGAAAACUUCAGAGUUCGUAGUCAUUGACAUUGCUCAUGAAUCUCCAGUUUUUGUUCUGUGGGCAUCUAAUUCAUUCGUAGGUGUUUGAUUUUCCAUGUGAAUUAGAUGCAGAUACAAAGAGGAGGAGAGCUAGAGAUAAACCUCAUUUUCUAAAGCACUGACAUUCACCACUCUACCUCUGCGCGGGCUUUCCUUACCCCAUACAGGGAGACUGGCUGUGCAACUCCAUUCUAUCUGCACUUAAAACAGCCAUGGGUUGCCAGGAGAAAUCCUGCUGGCAACACACAGUGAGGUGUGAU